rnacentral:rRNA from 1 species
GACGAACGCUGGCGGCGUGCCUAAUACAUGCAAGUCGAACGCAGUGGGGACGGGUGAGUAACACGUGGGUAACCUCCCAUCAGAGGGGAUAACACUUGGAAACAGGUGCUAAACCGAUACUGAUGGAUGGAACCGCGGUGCAUUAGCCAGUUGGUGAGGUAACGGCGCCUCAAGGCCACGAUGCAUAGCCGACAUGAGAGGGUGAUCGGCAACACUGAGACGAAGACAAGGCCCAGACUCAUACGGGAGGCAGCAGUAGGGAAUCUUCGGCAAUGGACUAAAGUCUGACCGGGCAACGCCGCGUGAGUGAAGAAGGUUUUCGGAUCGUAAAACUCUGUUGUUGGGAAAGCGGUAUCUAACCAGAAAGCCACGGCUAACUACGUGCCAGCAGCCGCGGUAAUUC